UACGUAGGGUGCGAGCGUUGUCCGGAAUUAUUGGGCGUAAAGAGCUCGUAGGCGGUGUGUCACGUCGGCCGUGAAAACCUGCAGCUUAACUGUGGGCGUGCGGUCGAUACGGGCAUCACUGGAGUUCGGCAGGGGAGACUGGAAUUCCUGGUGUAGCGGUGAAAUGCGCAGAUAUCUGGAGGAACACCGGUGGCGAAGGCGGCAUCCUGGACCGGUAUUGACGCUGAUGCGCGAAAGCCAGGGGAGCAAACGGG
rnacentral:rRNA from 1 species